rnacentral:rRNA from 1 species
AACCUGGUUGAUCCUGCCAGUAGUCAUAUGCUUGUCUCAAAGAUUAAGCCAUGCAUGUCUAAGUAUAAACUGCUUUAUACUGUGAAACUGCGAAUGGCUCAUUAAAUCAGUUAUAGUUUAUUUGAUGGUACCUACUUACUCGGAUACCCGUAGUAAUUCUAGAGCUAAUACGUGCGUACAUCCCGACUUCUGGAAGGGACGUAUUUAUUAGAUAAAAGGCCGACCGGGCUUGUCCGACUCGCGGUGACUCAUGAUAACUUCACGAAUCGCAUGGCCUCGCGCCGGCGAUGUUUCAUUCAAAUUUCUGCCCUAUCAACUUUUGAUGGUAGGAUAGAGGCCUACCAUGGUGGUAACGGGUGACGGA